rnacentral:tRNA from 1 species
GCCUGGGUGGCUCAGCCGGUUAAGCGUCUGCCUUUGGCUCAGAACAUGAUCCCAAGGUCCUGGGACUGAGCCCCAGCUCAGGCU